CCUACGGGAGGCAGCAGUGAGGAAUAUUGCGCAAUGGGGGCAACCCUGACGCAGCAACGCCGCGUGUGGGAAGAAGGCUUUCGGGUUGUAAACCACUUUUGCCCGGGACGAAAGGGGGGGCCUGAAUAAGGUCACCCGAUGACGGUACCGGGAGAAUAAGCCACGGCUAACUCUGUGCCAGCAGCCGCGGUAAGAC
rnacentral:rRNA from 1 species